UCAGGCCUAACACAUGCAAGUCGAGCGGAAACGAGUUAUCUGAACCUUCGGGGGACGAUAACGGCGUCGAGCGGCGGACGGGUGAGUAAUGCCUAGGAAAUUGCCCUGAUGUGGGGGAUAACCAUUGGAAACGAUGGCUAAUACCGCAUAAUGCCUACGGGCCAAAGAGGGGGACCUUCGGGCCUCUCGCGUCAGGAUAUGCCUAGGUGGGAUUAGCUAGUUGGUGAGGUAAGGGCUCACCAAGGCGACGAUCCCUAGCUGGUCCGAGAGGAUGAUCAGCCACACUGGAACUGAGACACGGUCCAGACUCCUACGGGAGGCAGCAGUGGGGAAUAUUGCACAACGGGCGCAAGCCUGAUGCAGCCAUGCCGCGUGUGUGAAGAAGGCCUUCGGGUUGUAAAGCACUUUCAGUCGUGAGGAAGGUGGUGUAGUUAAUAGCUGCAUUAUUUGACGUUAGCGACAGAAGAAGCACCGGCUAACUCCGUGCCAGCAGCCGCGGUAAUACGGAGGGUGCGAGCGUUAAUCGGAAUUACUGGGCGUAAAGCGCAUGCAGGUGGUUUGUUAAGUCAGAUGUGAAAGCCCGGGGCUCAACCUCGGAAUAGCAUUUGAAACUGGCAGACUAGAGUACUGUAGAGGGGGGUAGAAUUUCA
rnacentral:rRNA from 1 species